rnacentral:lncRNA from 1 species
AAUUGAAACACUAUUAGAACUUGGAUUUUUUUUCACUAUAAAAGGACAUGCGAUCAUCAAGCAGGAAACAAAAAAAACUAUACACAACAGAGAGAGCGUAAAAGCAAUAAAAAAAUUUCGAGAGAAAUUUCUAGCAGAAAAAUAAUUUGGAGUUUCUUUGGAAUUGUGAAAGUUGGAUUUGGCAUUGCAGUAGGAAUUUAAAAUCUAGUUUUUAAUGACUAUUCCUGGUAUUUGAUGGCUUAGAGAGAGAGAGGCAGGAAAAAGGAAAGAAGAGAGAGAGAGAGAGAGAGCAAGAGAAGAAAUUUGAAAAAAAAAUUUGGAAUUUUAUGCUAUAGCAAAACAAUGCCAUUUUGCCCUUCCAAGAUCCAAGCAAGAUUUGCACAUUGCCCCAUUUUUAGACUAACCCGCACAGCACCCGACCCACAUUCCUGAGAUUGGUUUUAUGCUGAGCCAAUUAGUUGAGCCAUGAGCUUUUUCACCCCAGGCCAUUCUUCUAUGCCUUAAACCACCUACGCUGAGCCUCCAAGCCAAGCUGCCUUUCUAGUAUAUUUUGUUACCUAUUUAUUUAUUUAUUUAGUUAUUUAUUUAGCUAUUUUUUUGUUUGUUUGUCUUUUGCAUAUGUGUUUUCGUUAUUUUAUUUUUCAUUUUGUUAUCUAUUAUCUUGUAAAUAUCAAAAAAAUAUUUUACAAAUAAGAAUAUUACCAACCUAUUGGAGGGUUCAAGUUUCCAAAAAAUAUAUAAAUUUUUAAAUAAAAACUGACUUUUAUCAACAUAUUGGAAUAUUCAAAUUUUUAAUAAAUUGUUUUAAUAACAUAAAGCUUUACCAAAAUAUUAGGAGGCAGUUUAAUUUCAAAAUAAAGUUUUAUCAACAUAUUAGAAAACCUUAUAAAUUUUUUAUAAAAAAAAAUUUAAGAAAAAAAUAGUUUUCAAUUAAAGUUUUACCAAUAUAUUGGUGAACCUUAUGAUUUUUAAAUAAAAAUUAAAUUCCAUAAAAUCCUACCAAUAUAUUGGAGGAUAAUUUUUAGUAGAAAAUCUUACCAAUAUAUUGGAAGAUAUUUCUAGAAAUAAAGUGUUUUCAUAAAAUUAAAUUUUGAAUAUCUGAUGAUGGAAUUACUAAGAGCAUUGCAAAUAGCAAUCUUUAUUUAAAUUCUUUGGUGAUAAAUCCUUUCUAAAUUUUACCAACAUAUUAGAUAAUUUAUAUAGGAAUUUUUUAUAUCAAAGAUUUUGAAUCUUAUUUGAUUAUCACCAUCAAAAUUUUUUUAUAAAAUAUUAAUGAAUCUGAUGACAAAGCCUCUUCAAAGUAUGAUAAAUAGUCUCCUUGAAUACUCUUGAGGUUAGGGAAUGUUUUUAAAUUAUUACCAAAAUAUUGGAGUAAUUUAAAGACAAUUUUUAAUAAUUAAUAAUAUGGUAAAUAUUUUUAAGGCUUUGGAUAAUACAAGAUUAAACUAAUGCCAUAUUUUAGAUAGGCGUUGUAGGGGUGUUAUAACCUUCCCUGCACAUAAUAUUACUCUUAAAC